UUAUGUCGUUGUAGCGGCAAUUCUUUUCCUUUUCUUUAAAAGUAAAAAAUAUACGCUUACAAGAACGCAG
rnacentral:sRNA from 1 species